AUAUAUUCUGCCAUGGCCAAGGUCUUAGAACUCAGUCUUAUAAAUUACAUAGGAUCUCUCCUCAUCUAUCAAGAUCGAUAGAUUCUAUGUAAGUGCAUACGCUACUCCUAUAGUGAACCUACUGCUGCUAAUCUACACAACAAAGACUCAUAUGACUAGAGACCAUAUACAUGUGCAGUCAAACUACAAUAACCUCACUGUGAAUAGCCGAAGCACCGUAGGUCAAAGAACCAGUCACACUACUGCAACAUCAAGCAAGUCACUAAUGAGUGGAUAGACAUCUAAGUGACUUCUUGUCUUGAUCACGCUCAGUACCCUUGUUCUCUAACAAGCACCUACACUAUCACUUCAGUGUCCCUACACUGUCGUCCAUCCAUAAGAAAAGCGAUCUGUGCACUGAUCGGAUCGAUCACCGUCCUCGUGAU
rnacentral:lncRNA from 1 species